UAAAGGAGCUCUUAAAGGAAUUCCAGCAAUAACCCAUUUUUUAGCAUCCAAUUCCAAGCCAGAAUCAACUUGAGGCUUCCCUGAGAACCCCAUGUUUUGGAUCCAAAAAACAAAGAAAACCCUUCGAGUAAUAUAGGAUUAGGAGGCUAGCCUGCAGGGAAUAAGGAAUAAAGCGUAAAGAGAAUAAAGAAAGAGGAGAGGGGGG
rnacentral:misc_RNA from 1 species